AGAAUUUAGGGCUAAAUGGGAAAUCUUCUUGGCCGCUAAGGCGUGAUUCUGUACCGAGCGAUGCUGGCCAGUGGCAAUAGCCUCGUCCCACACACCAUUGGGUGUGCUAGGCGCCAGGAUUUGGAGAGGGCAGGGAUAGAUGCACCGCUCUUGGAGGGCUCAAGGAUCUUAACAUGCUACAGAAAGGUUUGAGCUUUCUUUCUCUUUUCUUUUGGAUUGCUGAGGAUAGAGGAUGUGGACGGAUUCUUUGGAGCUCGGAUCUGACUGGUAACGCAGUGAUACCAAUUUCUUUGCUUCUCUCUCCUUUUUUUCUAGACCUUGGAGACUCCCAAGUAUCAAGGGGAAAAAAGAAAGAAAACACAGCUCCACCUUGAGUGCCUAAACCACGAACAUUGCUCACCGUUACUCCUCGAAUUCCAACUCUCAGCAAUGCUUGAUUGAAAGAACAAAAAGCUUGAAUCAAAAAAACCUUGAAUCCUUGAGAGGAUGUGAUUAGGUUUGUGCCA